CGGAAGUUCCAUUUGUAAUCAGGAAGUGGCACGUCCAUUAUGGCAACCGGGGCAGAUCAAGAUGUUGGCUUGGGACUUGUCGGCUUUACUCUGUUGCUGUUUACAUAUUAAACCAUUUGGGUCAUAGUCUUGCCAUUUUUUUCCACGUGAAUAUUCAGUCACACUUCCUGGAGUUGCAGCAUUAAUUCUCAUUCUUUUUGUUGGCACCUUCAUAGGGGUUGUAACAUGGAAGAAUCGAAAGCCUAAAAAAGUAGAUUAAGACUCUCCAGGUUGUUGUGGUUCAUCUGAUGACAAGAACAAAUGGUGUUGAAUUCACUCAUGUACCAUUUCCUGUACACAGCCACGUGGAUAUUUAUUCCAAAGCUUGCUGCUCUACACCCUGGUCUUCAGACAAUUCAUCAAUGAAUCUGAUUUCAUUAAGAAACCAGGGCAGUACUAAACAUGUAGUUACAUAGUAGUCUACUGAGCAUUGCACAUCCAGGGUUUAUAACCUUGUCUUAAGACCGAACUAGACAUGAGAUGUUUAUCUUUGGAUAAUGUUUCCAUAGUCAGUGAAGUGUAGGUUGCAUCUGGAUGAAUGUGAAAUGGGACAAGGGAUAUCUAUUGUUAUUCUUUAAGUUUAGGAACCAACGAAGCCAAUAUUUAGCUGUUCUCUUACUUUGUAAAAUGGACUUCAUUUUAAAGGAUGAAUGCAGUUGCAUAAUAAUUCUGGACAAUAUUUGAAAGUGAGUGAGCAAUGUUUUGUAAUAUCACACACUAUUCAACAUUAUACAGGAAAUAAGAAAACCCUUAUAUAAUGUUAUGUGUUUUGUUUUCUUUCUAGUUCUAUAUUGCAUAUGUUUCAUAUUUUCAUUGCAUAAUUUGUCUUAUGGUUUUAAUGAAAUGACAAGUAUAGAUAGAAAGAUGUAUUUAUAACAUGUACA